ensembl:lncRNA
GCUUUUUUCUCCCCCCCAGGGAGAUGCGCCGUGUCUCCAUCAUCUGGCGCUGCAGGAUCGCAUCCUGCCUCUUUGACCUACUCAGCCAAGACAUUUCAGACUGGGAACUGCCCGCCCUGACGUUCCUGGUGGAGGUCCUGGACUGCCUGGACUUGAGUGAAUGCGGUGAAAAGGUCCUGCAGAUCAUGACAAGGCACCUGAAGAGACGGUCCAGAGAGAUGCGUCGCGUGGCGCUCAGAGGCCUCGUGGUGCUCAGCCAGGACCCCUCGAUGAACCAAAGAAUGUACAGCCUGACUGAAAGCCUUGGCAACCUCCUGCGGGCCGUGGAUGAAGACAUUGUUGAGAUGACCGUCGUUGUUCUCAGCUCUCUGCUCUUCAACAAAGAGAUAGCAAUAGCCAGCCCCAUCGCCCUGCAGCUGGCUGAGGCGCUCUGGCAACUCUUCGACAAUGACAACAGCCUUGUGAAGCUGCUCUCCGUUCGCCUCUUCCAAGAGGUGAUGAACUUGGUGGUGGCCAAGGGAAAAAAGCCCCUGAAGAAGCAUGUGAGGCAGAGCCUGCUCCCACUCUUCUUCAACUGCCACGAUGAGAACUGGGGUGUGGCACAGGCCUCUCGGGAAACGCUGCUUUCUGCAGUAAGGUUCCUGAAGAGAAGGGAUCUUCAGCACCUGGUGAACACAGAUCAGAUGUGGAGCUUUGCCGAGC